AGAGGGGGACUACAACGUCAUGGUGAUGGAGCUGCUGGGGCCAAGCCUGGAGGACCUCUUCAACUUCUGCUCCAGGAAAUUCAGCCUCAAAACCGUCCUGCUGCUUGCUGACCAAAUGAUCAGUCGCAUCGAAUACAUUCAUUCAAAGAACUUCAUCCACCGGGAUGUGAAGCCAGACAACUUCCUCAUGGGCCUGGGGAAGAAGGGCAACCUGGUGUACAUCAUCGACUUCGGGCUGGCCAAGAAGUACCGGGACGCACGCACCCACCAGCACAUCCCCUAUCGUGAGAACAAGAACCUCACGGGGACGGCGCGGUACGCCUCCAUCAACACGCACCUUGGAAUUGAACAAUCCCGAAGAGAUGACUUGGAGUCUCUGGGCUACGUGCUAAUGUACUUCAACCUGGGCUCUCUCCCCUGGCAGGGGCUGAAGGCCGCCACCAAGAGACAGAAAUAUGAAAGGAUUAGCGAGAAGAAAAUGUCCACCCCCAUCGAAGUGCUGUGUAAAGGCUACCCUUCUGAAUUUGCCACAUACCUGAAUUUCUGCCGUUCCUUGCGUUUUGACGACAAGCCUGACUACUCGUACCUGAGGCAGCUUUUCCGGAAUCUGUUCCAUCGCCAGGGCUUCUCUUAUGACUACGUGUUCGACUGGAACAUGCUCAAAUUUGCUGCUGUCUCGGCUUAAAAUCUGCCCUCCCCACCCCCAUGCAUCUGGAUAGUGCAGCACAGACCCGGCUGCUGGCCGCGCCACCACACCUGCACAGGCUGUUGGAGGCCGCAGGGUCUGGACCCUGAGUGGACUCCUCGUCCGACGAAACGCUCUCAUCCCCACCCCGCUUUCCUCCCCAGCUGUCACCAUUUGGGACCUGUCUUUGGCCUCCAAUGGUUCCUGUCCCUCUCCUCUCCCUGCACGUGUCAGUGAGCAUGUUCACAGAUGAGCAGGGGGCCAGCUGCUGCCCAUUUUGAAGUUUAAGGAAGUUCUGAGCCCACAGGGAGAUGCCAUGGCGAGUGGGGUUUUUUCUAUUGUUGGGGGAGCUGAGAGGCCUGGCUCUGACCCCUUGUGGGGAUGACGCUGGCAUCCCAUGGGGAGAAACAUGCAGCGUGUGGGGGGUUUCGCAGGCAGUCUCGUCCCAGUGCCCUUUGGUAGGUAUUUUCUCACGUGGCCGGGGCAGCCUAGGACCUAGGGUUGCUUUCUGCCAAAGCUGGUUUCAUUCCGGCCUCACCUCCUGCCUCCUCAGGGUGCCAGCCGGGCCGCUGACGAUG
rnacentral:sRNA from 1 species